GACGAACGCUGGCGGCGUGCUUAACACAUGCAAGUCGAACGGAAAGGCCCAGCUUGCUGGGUGCUCGAGUGGCGAACGGGUGAGUAACACGUGGGUGAUCUGCCUCUAACUUCGGGAUAAGCUUGGGAAACUGGGUCUAAUACCGGAUAGGACAAUCGUUUAGUGUCGGUUGUGGAAAGUUUUUUCGGUUAGGGAUGAGCCCGCGGCCUAUCAGCUUGUUGGUGGGGUAAUGGCCUACCAAGGCGUCGACGGGUAGCCGGCCUGAGAGGGUGGACGGCCACAUUGGGACUGAGAUACGGCCCAGACUCCUACGGGAGGCAGCAGUGGGGAAUAUUGCACAAUGGGCGCAAGCCUGAUGCAGCGACGCCGCGUGGGGGAUGACGGCCUUCGGGUUGUAAACCUCUUUCGACAGGGACGAAGCUUUGGUGACGGUACCUGUAGAAGAAGCACCGGCUAACUACGUG
rnacentral:rRNA from 1 species